GGGGUUGUGGCCCAGUGGUAGAACAUCUGCCGUGCAGCCAGAAGGUCCCAGGUUUGAACCUUGGUAUCUGCA
rnacentral:tRNA from 1 species